rnacentral:snRNA from 1 species
GUGCUCUUUUCAGUAGCACAUACUAAAAUUGGAACGAUACAGUGAAGAUUAGCAUGGCCCCUGUGCAAGGAUAACAGGCAAAUUCGUGAUGCAUUCCAUAUUCUC